UACGUAGGGGGCAAGCGUUGUCCGGAUUUAUUGGGCGUAAAGAGCGUGUAGGCGGCCAUACAGGUCCGUUGUGAAAACUGGAGGCUUAACCUCCAGACGUCGAUGGAAACCGUAUGGCUAGAGUCCGGAAGAGGAGAGUGGAAUUCCUGGUGUAGCGGUGAAAUGACGCAGAUAUCAGGAAGAACACCCGUGGCGAAGGCGGCUCUCUGGGACGGUACUGACGCUGAGACGCGAAAGCGUGGGGAGCAACAGG
rnacentral:rRNA from 1 species